UACGUAGGUGGCAAGCGUUGUCCGGAUUUACUGGGCGUAAAGAGCGCGCAGGCGGUCGUUCAAGUCGCGUGUGAAAGCCCCCGGCUCAACUGGGGAGGGUCACGCGAUACUGAUCGACUCGAAGGCAGGAGAGGGUAGUGGAAUUCCCGGUGUAGAGGUGAAAUUCGUAGAUAUUCGCAAGAACACCAGUGGCGAAGGCGGCUUACUGGUCCGGUUCUGACGCUGAGGCGCGAAAGCGUGGGGAGCAAACAGG
rnacentral:rRNA from 1 species